rnacentral:rRNA from 1 species
GAAUGCUGACAUAAGUAACGAUAAAGCGGGUGAAAAGCCCGCUCGCCGGAAGACCAAGGGUUCCUGUCCAACGUUAAUCGGGGCAGGGUGAGUCGACCCCUAAGGCGAGGCCGAAAGGCGUAGUCGAUGGGAAACGGGUUAAUAUUCCCGUACUUGGUGUUACUGCGAAGGGGGGACGGAGAAGGCUAUGUUGGCCGGGCGACGGUUGUCCCGGUUUAAGCGUGUAGGUGUGUGUUCCAGGUAAAUCCGGUUCACUUUAACACUGAGGCGUGAUGACGAGGCACUACGGUGCUGAAGCAACAAAUGCCCUGCUUCCAGGAAAAGCCUCUAAGCAUCAGGUAACACGAAAUCGUACCCCAAACCGACACAGGUGGUCAGGUAGAGAAUACCAAGGCGCUUGAGAGAACUCGGGUGAAGGAACUAGGCAAAAUGGUGCCGUAACUUCGGGAGAAGGCACGCUGACACGUAGGUGAAGUGAUUUACUCAUGGAGCUGAAGUCAGUCGAAGAUACCAGCUGGCUGCAACUGUUUAUUAAAAACACAGCACUGUGCAAACACGAAAGUGGACGUAUACGGUGUGACGCCUGCCCGGUGCCGGAAGGUUAAUUGAUGGGGUCAGCGCAAGCGAAGCUCCUGAUCGAAGCCCCGGUAAACGGCGGCCGUAACUAUAACGGUCCUAAGGUAGCGAAAUUCCUUGUCGGGUAAGUUCCGACCUGCACGAAUGGCGUAAUGAUGGCCAGGCUGUCUCCACCCGAGACUCAGUGAAAUUGAACUCGCUGUGAAGAUGCAGUGUACCCGCGGCAAGACGGAAAGACCCCGUGAACCUUUACUAUAGCUUGACACUGAACAUUGAGCCUUGAUGUGUAGGAUAGGUGGGAGGCUUUGAAGUGUGGACGCCAGUCUGCAUGGAGCCGACCUUGAAAUACCACCCUUUAAUGUUUGAUGUUCUAACGUGGACCCGUAAUCCGGGUUGCGGACAGUGUCUGGUGGGUAGUUUGACUGGGGCGGUCUCCUCCUAAAGAGUAACGGAGGAGCACGAAGGUUGGCUAAUCCUGGUCGGACAUCAGGAGGUUAGUGCAAUGGCAUAAGCCAGCUUGACUGCGAGCGUGACGGCGCGAGCAGGUGCGAAAGCAGGUCAUAGUGAUCCGGUGGUUCUGAAUGGAAGGGCCAUCGCUCAACGGAUAAAAGGUACUCCGGGGAUAACAGGCUGAUACCGCCCAAGAGUUCAUAUCGACGGCGGUGUUUGGCACCUCGAUGUCGGCUCAUCACAUCCUGGGGCUGAAGUAGGUCCCAAGGGUAUGGCUGUUCGCCAUUUAAAGUGGUACGCGAGCUGGGUUUAGAACGUCGUGAGACAGUUCGGUCCCUAUCUGCCGUGGGCGCUGGAGAACUGAGGGGGGCUGCUCCUAGUACGAGAGGACCGGAGUGGACGCAUCACUGGUGUUCGGGUUGUCAUGCCAAUGGCACUGCCCGGUAGCUAAAUGCGGAAGAGAUAAGUGCUGAAAGCAUCUAAGC